CCUACGGGAGGCAGCAGUGAGGAAUAUUGGUCAAUGGGCGCGAGCCUGAACCAGCCAAGUCGCGUGAGGGAAGACGGUCCUAUGGAUUGUAAACCUCUUUUGUCGGGGAGCAAAAGACGCCACGCGUGGCGUUCCGAGAGUACCCGAAGAAAAAGCAUCGGCUAACUCCGUGCCAGCAGCCGCGGUAAUACGGAGGAUGCGAGGGUUAUCGGGUUUUAUUGGGUGUAAGGGGUGCGCAGGCGGAAGAUCAAGUCAGCGGGAAAAUUGGGAGGCUCAACCUCUUCGAGCCGUUGAAACUGGUUUUCUUGAGUGAGCGAGAAGUAUGCGGAAUGCGUGGUGUAGCGGUGAAAUGCAUAGAUAUCACGCAGAACUCCGAUUGCGAAGGCAGCAUACCGGCGCUCAACUGACGCUCAUGCACGAAAGUGUGGGUAUCGAACAGGAUUAGAUACCCUUGUAGUC
rnacentral:rRNA from 1 species